rnacentral:rRNA from 1 species
GCUGGGCAAGACCGGUGCCAGCCGCCGCGGUAAUACCGGCAGCACGAGUGAUGGCCGAUAUUAUUGGGCCUAAAGCGUCCGUAGCCGGCCRGACAAGUCCGUUGGGAAAUCYGCGCGCUYAACGCGYAGGCGUCCAGCGGAAACUGUCUGGCUUGGGRCCGGAAGACCYGAGGGGUACGUCCGGGGUAGGAGUGAAAUCCCGUAAUCCUGGACGGACCACCGGUGGCGAAAGCGCCUCRGGAAGACGGAYCCGACGGUGAGGGACGAAAGCUAGGGUCUCGAACCGGAUUAGAUACCCGGGUAGUCCUAGCUGUAAACGAUGCUCGCUAGGUGUGGCGCAGGCUACGAGCCUGCGCUGUGCCGUAGGGAAGCCGUGAAGCGAGCCGCCUGGGAAGUACGUCUG